rnacentral:rRNA from 1 species
UACGGUCAAAUCACGCUGAAACACCGGUUCUCGUACGAUCACCGAAGUUAAGCAGCGUAGAGCCAGGUCAGUACUUAGAUGGGGGACCGCUUGGGAACACCUGGUACUGUAAG